rnacentral:rRNA from 1 species
GUCUGCAACUCGACUACAUGAAGCUGGAAUCGCUAGUAAUCGCGAAUCAGAAUGUCGCGGUGAAUACGUUCCCGGGUCUUGUACACACCGCCCGUCACACCAUGGGAGUCAGUAACGCCCGAAGCCGGUGACCCAACCGGAAACCGGAGGGAGCCGUCGAAGGUGGGACCGAUAACUGGGGUGAAGUCGUAACAAGGUAAC